GUAGUCCACGCCGUAAACGUUGGGCACUAGGUGUGGGGGACAUUCCACGUUUUCCGCGCCGUAGCUAACGCAUUAAGUGCCCCGCCUGGGGAGUACGGCCGCAAGGCUAAAACUCAAAGGAAUUGACGGGGGCCCGCACAAGCGGCGGAGCAUGCGGAUUAAUUCGAUGCAACGCGAAGAACCUUACCAAGGCUUGACAUGGGCCGGAUCGCUGCAGAAAUGUGGUUUCCCCUUUGGGGCCGGUUCACAGGUGGUGCAUGGUUGUCGUCAGCUCGUGUCGUGAGAUGUUGGGUUAAGUCCCGCAACGAGCGCAACCCUCGUUCCAUGUUGCCAGCGCGUAAUGGCGGGGACUCAUGGGAGACUGCCGGGGUCAACUCGGAGGAAGGUGGGGACGACGUCAAAUCAUCAUGCCCCUUAUGUCUUGGGCUUCACGCAUGCUACAAUGGCCGGUACAAAGGGUUGCGAUACUGUGAGGUGGAGCUAAUCCCAAAAAGCCGGUCUCAGUUCGGAUUGGGGUCUGCAACUCGACCCCAUGAAGUCGGAGUCGCUAGUAAUCGCAGAUCAGCAACGCUGCGGUGAAUA
rnacentral:rRNA from 1 species